UUCCCCUAGUAACUGCGAGUGAAGCGGGAAAAGCUCAAAUUUAAAAUCUGGUGGUCUUUGAUCAUCCGAGUUGUAAUCUAGAGAAGUGUUAUCCGCGCUGGACCGUGUACAAGUCUCCUGGAAUGGAGCGUCAUAGAGGGUGAGAAUCCCGUCUUUGACACGGACUGCCAGGGCUUUGUGAUGCGCUCUCAAAGAGUCGAGUUGUUUGGGAAUGCAGCUCAAAAUGGGUGGUAAAUUCCAUCUAAAGCUAAAUAUUGGCGAGAGACCGAUAGCGAACAAGUACCGUGAGGGAAAGAUGAAAAGAACUUUGGAAAGAGAGUUAAACAGUACGUGAAAUUGCUGAAAGGGAAACGCUUGAAGUCAGUCGCGUUNGCCGGGGAUCAACCUUGCUUUUGCUGGGCGUACUUUCCGGUUGACGGGUCAGCAUCAAUUUUGACCGUUGGAUAAAGUUCAGGGGAAUGUGGCAUCUUCGGAUGUGUUAUAGCCUUUGUUCGCAUACAACGGUUGGGAUUGAGGAACUCAGCACGCCGCAAGGCCGGGUAUUUAUACUACGUUCGUGCUUAGGAUGCUGGCAUAAUGGCUUUAAUCGACCCGUCUUGAAACACGGACCAAGGAGUCUAACAUGCCUGCGAGUGUUUGGGUGGAAAACCCGAGCGCGUAAUGAAAGUGAAAGUUGAGAUCCCUGUCGUGGGGAGCAUCGACGCCCGGACCAGACCUUUUGUGACGGAUCCGCGGUAGAGCAUGUAUGUUGGGACCCGAAAGAUGGUGAACUAUGCCUGAAUAGGGUGAAGCCAGAGGAAACUCUGGUGGAGGCUCGUAGCGAUUCUGACGUGCAAAUCGAUCGUCAAAUUUGGGUAUAGGGGCGAAAGACU
rnacentral:rRNA from 1 species